rnacentral:rRNA from 1 species
CCCUCAGUAACGGCGAGUGAAGAGGGAAGAGCCCAGCACCGAAGCCUGUGGCCGUUUGGCCCCUAGGCAAUGUGGUGUUCAGGUUAGCUCGCGGGGAUGCUGCUCCACCCUAAGUCCUAAAAUGAGUAAGGUUACUCGGACGUGGCCCAUUGAGGGUGAAAGGCCCGUGGGGGUGGAGAGUCAGACUGGCCAGUAUCUCCCUGAGCAGACCUUGGAGUCGGGUUGUUUGUGAAUGCAGCCCAAAGCGGGUGGUAAACUCCAUCCAAGGCUAAAUACUAGCACGAGUCCGAUAGCGAACAAGUACCGUGAGGGAAAGUUGAAAAGUACUUUGAAGAGAGAGUAAACAGUGCGUGAAGCCGUUCAGAGGUAAACGGGUGGAGUUGAACUGCAAGCUCUGAGGAUUCAACUGGUGAGAUUGGCGUGAGCUUGGUCACGUGGGUUGUAUUGCUGUGUCUGCUUAGCUGCAGGUCCUCGCCUCGGUGGGGAUGCGCGUCUAGCUUAUCAAGCUUUGCGCGCACGGUGUUUUUCGAGCCCGCUUGCCAGUGCACUUUCUCAGAGUGUUCACCACGACCGGCGUUGCUGUCUGGCUGAUGGGGUUAAACCGGUCUUGUAGGGUCCUUGUGGCCUUGCUUGGUCGGGAUGGCAGGUAGCCCGUUGUGUAUUUUAUAUGCUUCGGGUGUAAUAGCCGACUUCAUCGGUUCUGUGCGGUACGUCGGAGACGGCGGCUUGUUGUGCGUGCGGGCGUGCCUGUGUGCUGGCGGCUCUGGGUCUGGUUGCCUUGUUGCUUGCGAAUGCAGGCCAGGUGAUGGCUCGGGGUCGUUUGGUGUGCGGUUGCGUUCGUGGCACUUUGAAGGGCCAACAGUCUGUGGUGUAGUGGUAGACUAUCCACCCGACCCGUCUUGAAACACGGACCAAGGAGAGUAACAUGUGCGCGAGUCAUUGGGCGUUACGAAACCCAAAGGCGUAGUGAAAGUAAAGGUUCGGCUUGUCUGGACUGAGGUGAGAUCCUGUCGUUUCUCACGCAUGGUACUACCAAGCAUCGAGCGGCAGGCGCAUCACCGGCCCGUCCCAUGACGUAGUGGUGGCUUCGGCUUGCCCAUCGUCGGGGCGGAGCAUGAGCGUACAUGUUGAGACCCGAAAGAUGGUGAACUAUGCUUGCGCAGGUUGAAGCCAGAGGAAACUCUGGUGGAG